UUUGUUGUGGCUCAGUGGUAGAGCAUUCACCUAGCAUGGGUGAGGCAUUGGGUUUGAAUCUCAGCACCACAU
rnacentral:tRNA from 1 species